rnacentral:lncRNA from 1 species
UACAAACUUAUCUUUAGAAGUUAGAGGAGUAACGGGGGCAGAGAAGCAAUGUUUGGCAGAGCUUUCUGUCUGGUGAAGAAGACAGAUAAACAUUGCCAUUAGGAUAUAUUCUAACAAGCUCUACCACAUACAGAACCAGAGAGUGCUCAGAACACACAGGAGGGACACAUAAUCAAGAAUUGAGAGAAGGAGACAAAGGAUGACGUCCUGAAAGAAAUGAACCCCAAGUGAGAACCGGAAAGAUGAGCAGGGGCAAGCCCAGGAGUGGUCUGCGACCGCAGGGCAGAGUCAGGAGCAGAAGCCAUAGCAACAGACACGGAGAUGGAACUACCGAUUCCGAGACUGUUUUAUUGCUUUUAUGUAAAU